GACGAACGCUGGCGGCGUGCUUAACACAUGCAAGUCGAACGGGUCUGCCCUGUUUUUUGCGGGGUGGGUCAGUGGCGAACGGGUGAGUAACACGUGAGUAACCUGCCCCUCACUUCUGGAUAACCGCUUGAAAGGGUGGCUAAUACGGGGUGUUCUGGCUGUGCCGCAUGGUGUGGCUGGGAAAGAUUCACUUUUGUGGUGUUUUGGUGGGGGAUGGGCUCGCGGCCUAUCAGCUUGUUGGUGGGGUGAUGGCCUGCCAAGGCUUUGACGGGUAGCCGGCCUGAGAGGGUGGGCGGUCACACUGGGACUGAGAGACGGCCCAGACUCCUGCGGGAGGCAGCAGUGGGGGGUAUUGCACUAUGGGCGGAAGCCUGAUGCAGCGACGUCGCGUGAGGGAUGGAGGCCUGCGGGUUGUGAACCUCUUUCGCCGGUGAAGAAGGUCCUGCUCUUUGUGGUGGGGUUGACGGUAGCCGGGUUAUGAAGCGCCGGCUAACUACGUG
rnacentral:rRNA from 1 species